GCCAGAGAUGUCUUGUGUAGCUCCCAAGUACUCCAACCUCAAGGUGCAUGCCCUCCACUCACUAAUUGGCUCCUCUGGCUGUGAUCCAAAAGAGAAGGAGGCUAAUUCAAAUGGGAUGGCCCCAAAAUAAGAGGAAUAGUGUACAUUUAUACCAGGAUAUGGGCUGUACCUGCUUAUAGUACCCUUUAUGCAAUCUCCAGUUCAUUAACUCUAGUAGAUACUGUGAAGACACUAUCAAAAAGAGGUUAUGGUCCCCCCAAAUUAGGGAAGCCCUAAGGGAUUGUGUGUCUCCUUUUUGUAGAGAGUUUGUUGGAAAAUCAGAUACUGGUCUGAGAAAAAUGCUGAUCUCAAUGGUCAAGAGACUAAAAAUAAAGUACCUUAAGACAUCAGAAUGAAAUCAUUGAAGGCAAUGUUUAGCUUUGUGAUGUGCUGUAUUACUGAACAAGAUGGUAAGGGCAUGUGGCAAAGCACGGCAGGGAAUACUUUUAGAAGGCUCAUGGAAUCCAGGAAGAAACUUCCUUGGGAAACUUUGGACUAUAUUCUCAACAAACCCUUCAGAGAGACUUAAAGCUGGUAAAAGACCUUUUACGAAAGUGAUCCAGGGGGGCUCCACUUUGUUUCUCUGGAUAUUUCUCUGUUGAAAUAUAGUUGUCAAACGCGUCCCAUUUUAGAUGCUCUUCAGACUUCAAAACAUUACCUUCCUGCUUUCAGGGAGCCAUUUCAUCAGCUUUUGUACUGUGUAUUCACUGUGGACCCUGCUGUUAUGCAAGUACCACCAUGGCUAAAAAUUCACAAGACCAUUCUUAUUUGCACUGAUUUUUUUUUAUUUGAUCUUUCACAAUGUUGCUGCUUCUGUUUCAAAAACGUCUCAAAGCUUUGAUUUGAUUGCAGCUGGAUUCAAGGAUACCCAAAGCCAAGUUUGAUCCUGAAUUCCCCAAAUCAAAAGUAUUUCAUUUCAGAUGUAUAUUGUAUACCUGGCCAUAAUAAUGAAUAGCAACCAUUACUGGAGCACGCUUUUGGUUUUUUUUUUCUUAACAGUCAUUUUUAUGAUUUGGAAACAUAAUUAGAAGAAGAUUCCUAUUCCAGACUACAAAUCGAUGGAUUUGAUUCUACUACACAUUUGCCAAUAAUGAGCAAUGUUAUCAAAU